rnacentral:misc_RNA from 1 species
GAUGAAGAACGUAGCGAAAUGCGAUAAGUAAUGUGAAUUGCAGAAUUCAGUGAAUCAUCGAAUCUUUGAACGCACCUUGCGCUCCUUGGUAUUCCUUGGAGCAUGCCUGUUUGAGUAUCAUGAAAUUCUCAAAGUAAAUCUUUUUGUUAAUUCAAUUGGUUUCACUUUGGAUUUGGAGGUCUUUUGCAGCUUCACACCUGCUCCUCUUUGUGCAUUAGCUGGAUCUCAGUGUUAUGCUUGGUUCCACUCGGCGUGAUAAAUUAUCUAUCGCUGAGGACACUUUUUUUUUUUUCUUAAAAAAAAAAUAAAGGUGGCCAAGGGAAAUGCAGAUGAACCGCUUCCAAUAGUCCAUUAGCUUGGACAAAAUAUAUUUAUGAUCUGAUCUCAAAUCAGGUAGGACUACCCGCUGAACUUAAGCAUAUCAAUAAGCGGAGGA